rnacentral:rRNA from 1 species
GGUACACGCUGUGACUAGCAUAUCAAUAAGCGGAGGAAAAGAAACUAACAAGGAUUCCCCUAGUAACAGGCGAGUGAAGCGGGAAGAGCUCAAAUUUGAAAUCUUAAAGGGUUUCCCUUUACGAAUUGUAGUUUAAAGAAGUGUUUUCUGUUGAGGUUUUGGUAAAAGUUCUUUGGAAUAGGACAUCAUAGAGGGUGAGAAUCCCGUAUUUGACCUUUACUUUCAACUUUGUGAUACACUUUCAAAGAGUCGGAUUGUUUGGGAAUGCAGUCCAAAAUGGGUGGUAAAUUUCAUCUAAAGCUAAAUAUUGGCGAGAGACCGAUAGCGAACAAGUACCGUGAGGGAAAGAUGAAAAGAACUUUGAAAAGAGAGUUAAACAGUACGUGAAAUUGUCAAAAGGGAAGCGUUUGACACCAGUGUUGUUUUUCUGAAAAUCAAUUAAAGAACUGUUUAUGCUAAGCUGUUUAGACUUUAUCAGCUAUCUGUUUAGUUUUGAGCUUCUCUUUAAUGCACUUUUCAGUUAACAAGUCAACAUCAAUUUCUUUUGCUGUAAAAAAGCUUGAGGAAGGUGGCUUGAGAUUCGUCUUAAGUGUUUAUAGCCUCUUGCCUAUGCAGUCGGAGAGAUUGAGGUCUGCAGCGUAGAUCCUUCGGGGCUAAAUGCAUUUGUGCUAAGUUAUAGCAUUUUAUAGACAACUUGUUGACUAUGAUUUGUCUUGUAGCUUACUCGCUUAUGUUAUUUUACCUACGCUUAGGAUGUUGAUAUGCAUGACUGAUAU